GAUGAACGCUGGCGGCGUGCCUAAUACAUGCCAGUUGAGCGCUGAAGGUUGGUACUUGUACCAACUGGAUGAGCAGCGAACGGGUGAGUAACGCGUGGGGAAUCUGCCUUUGAGCGGGGGACAACAUUUGGAAACGAAUGCUAAUACCGCAUAAAAACUUUAAACACAAGUUUUAAGUUUGAAAGAUGCAAUUGCAUCACUCAAAGAUGAUCCCGCGUUGUAUUAGCUAGUUGGUGAGGUAAAGGCUCACCAAGGCGAUGAUACAUAGCCGACCUGAGAGGGUGAUCGGCCACAGUGGGACUGAGACACGGCCCAAACUCCUACGGGAGGCAGCAGUAGGGAAUCUUCGGCAAUGGACGAAAGUCUGACCGAGCAACGCCGCGUGAGUGAAGAAGGUUUUCGGAUCGUAAAACUCUGUUGGUAGAGAAGAACGUUGGUGAGAGUGGAAAGCUCAUCAAGUGACGGUAACUACCCAGAAAGGGACGGCUAACUACGUG
rnacentral:rRNA from 1 species